rnacentral:rRNA from 1 species
UACGAAGGGGGCUAGCAUUGUUCGGAAUUACUGGGCGUAAAGCGCGCGCAGGCGGUCUUCCAAGUCAGUGGUGAAAGCCUGGAGCUCAACUCCAGAACUGCCAUUGAAACUGUUAGACUUGAGUACGAGAGAGGUGAGUGGAAUUCCCAGUGUAGAGGUGAAAUUCGUAGAUAUUGGGAAGAACACCAGUGGCGAAGGCGGCUCACUGGCUCGUAACUGACGCUGAGACGCGAAAGCGUGGGGGGAGCGAACCGG